rnacentral:misc_RNA from 1 species
UCCGGUUUGGCACCGGCAGUCUCCCUAGAGUUCCCGGCAUGACCCGCUGGCAACUAAGGAUAGGGGUUGCGCUCGUUGCGCCACUUAAGGCAACACCUCACGGCACGAGCUGACGACAGCCAUGCAGCACCUGUGUCCAGGCUCCCUUUCGGGCACACUCACCUCUCAGCAAGCUUCCUGGCAUGUCAAGGGUAGGUAAGGUUGUUCGCGUUGCAUCGAAUUAAUCCACAUCAUCCACCGCUUGUGCGGGUCCCCGUCAAUUCCUUUGAGUUUUAAUCUUGCGACCGUACUCCCCAGGCGGUCAACUUCACGCGUUAGCUGCGGUACUGAGAACUUGCGCUCCCAACACCUAGUUGACAUAGUUUAGGGCGUGGACUAC